UACGUAGGGGGCAAGCGUUGUCCGGAAUUAUUGGGCGUAAAGAGCGUGUAGGCGGUCCGGUAAGUCAGCUGUGAAAGUCAAGGGCUCAACCCUUGAAUGCCGGUUGAUACUGUCGGGCUAGAGUCCGGAAGAGGCGAGUGGAAUUCCCGGUGUAGCGGUGAAAUGCGCAGAUAUCAGGAGGAACACCGGUGGCGAAGGCGGAUCUCUGGGCCUUACCUGACGCUGAGGAGCGAAAGCAUGGGGAGCAAACAGG
rnacentral:rRNA from 1 species